rnacentral:rRNA from 1 species
GUCUGUGGCCACACUACCCUGAACACAUUCGGUCUCGUCUGAUCUCGAAGUCUAAGCAGCAUAGGACCUGGUUAACACUGGAA